UACGUAGGGGGCAAGCGUUGUCCGGAAUCAUUGGGCGUAAAGAGCGUGUAGGUGGCCCGGUCAGUCCGCCGUGAAAGUCCAGGGCUCAACCCUGGAAUGCCGGUGGAUACUGCCGGGCUGGAGUCCGGAAGAGGCGAGUGGAAUUCCUGGUGUAGCGGUGAAAUGCGCAGAUAUCAGGAGGAACACCAAUGGCGAAGGCAGCUCGCUGGGACGGUACUGACACUGAGACGCGAAAGCGUGGGGAGCAAACAG
rnacentral:rRNA from 1 species